ensembl:lncRNA
UACCAUGCAUCAUCAUCAUCAUCAUCAUGGGUGUUUAUCUGGUUUUCGCUGUGUUCAUGAUCAAGUUUAGCUCAGGACUUUCACCUCUGUCCAAGGUUCGAUGUGAAGAAAACCUCGAAAUCAAGAGAUCAAAUGAACAGAGAGAUGGUAUCUGGAGUGAAUGUGUGUACUCCAGGGUGAAGCUACACUGAACUGAAGCCGUUCCGACUUUGAUGCCACAUGUCUAGACAUGAACUUAUUACUGUAGCUUUGAAAUGUUUAGGCUGUUCUCUAGCUCUUUCUAACAUUAUCCUGCUCGAUCGGUUUAAAGCCUGCUCUUUUUUUCUUUGUUUUGUUCUAAAUAAAAUUUUUGUUAUCUAUUCUGUAAGACAGAGGAAUGUGAGAUGAAAGCUGACAUGUUGAUGUAAUCUCUUGCUCACUUUCUUUCUCUUUCUGUCAUUUUUAUAUGACAGACCAGUUUUUUUUUUAUCAAUAAUAAGCACAAACCUUGACUUUUAAAGUAAAGCAUUUUCAUCUUUUCAUGCAUCG